rnacentral:hammerhead_ribozyme from 1 species
GCAUCGUUGUGGAGUCCCACAAUAGGACGAAACGGCCGUCCAGUGC